CUAGUUGGCGGGGUAAGAGCCCACCAAGGCAACGAUCAGUAGCCGGCCUGAGAGGGUGAUCGGCCACACUGGAACUGAGACACGGUCCAGACUCCUACGGGAGGCAGCAGUGGGGAAUAUUGCACAAUGGGCGAAAGCCUGAUGCAGCGACGCCGCGUGAGUGAAGAAGGUCUUCGGAUCGUAAAACUCUGUCCUUGGUGAAGAAAAAAAUGACGGUAGCCAAGGAGGAAGCCCCGGCUAACUACGUGCCAGCAGCCGCGGUAAUACGUAGGGGGCGAGCGUUGUCCGGAUUUACUGGGCGUAAAGGGUGAGUAGGCGGUAAUAUGUGUCAGAUGUAAAAGUCCCGCUGCUUAACCAUAGUUGGCAUUUGAAACUGUAUUACUUGAGUGCAGGAGAGGUAAGUGGAAUUCCUAGUGUAGCGGUGAAAUGCGUAGAUAUUAGGAGGAACACCAGUGGCGAAGGCGACUUACUGGACUGUAACUGACGCUGAGUCACGAAAGCGUGGGUAGCAAACAGGAUUAGAUACCCUGGUAGUCCACGCUGUAAACGAUGAGUGCUAGGUGUUGGGGGUAUCGACCCCCUCGGUGCCACAGCUAACGCAAUAAGCACUCCGCCUGGGGAGUACGGCCGCAAGGUUGAAACUCAAAGGAAUUGACGGGGGCCCGCACAAGCAGCGGAGCAUGUGGUUUAAUUCGAAGCAACGCGAAGAACCUUACCAGGUCUUGACAUCCAGUAAAAACUGUCGAGAGGCAGUGUCCCUUCGGGGGUACUGAGACAGGUGGUGCAUGGUUGUCGUCAGCUCGUGUCGUGAGAUGUUGGGUUAAGUCCCGCAACGAGCGCAACCCUUAUUUUCAGUUACUAACGCGUAACGGCGAGGACUCUGAAGAGACUGCCGGGGACAACUCGGAGGAAGGUGGGGACGACGUCAAAUCAUCAUGCCCCUUAUGACCUGGGCUACACACGUGCUACAAUGGCUACUACAAAGAGGAGCAAGCCCGCAAGGGGGAGCGGAUCUGAGAAAAGUAGUCCCAGUUCGGAUCGUGGGCUGCAACCCGCCCACGUGAAGUCGGAGUUGCUAGUAAUCGCGGAUCAGCAUGCCGCGGUGAAUACGUUCCCGGGCCUUGUACACACCGCCCGUCACACCAUGGGAGUUGGGAGCCCCCGAAGCCAGU
rnacentral:rRNA from 1 species